GGGUUGUGAGGUUAAGCGACUAAGCGUACACGGUGGAUGCCCUGGCAGUCAGAGGCGAUGAAGGACGUGCUAAUCUGCGAUAAGCGUCGGUAAGGUGAUAUGAACCGUUAUAACCGGCGAUUUCCGAAUGGGGAAACCCAGUGUGUUUCGACACACUAUCAUUAACUGAAUCCAUAGGUUAAUGAGGCGAACCGGGGGAACUGAAACAUCUAAGUACCCCGAGGAAAAGAAAUCAACCGAGAUUCCCCCAGUAGCGGCGAGCGAACGGGGAGCAGCCCAGAGCCUGAAUCAGUGUGUGUGUUAGUGGAAGCGUCUGGAAAGGCGCGCGAUACAGGGUGACAGCCCCGUACACAAAAAUGCACAUGCUGUGAGCUCGAUGAGUAGGGCGGGACACGUGGUAUCCUGUCUGAAUAUGGGGGGACCAUCCUCCAAGGCUAAAUACUCCUGACUGACCGAUAGUGAACCAGUACCGUGAGGGAAAGGCGAAAAGAACCCCGGCGAGGGGAGUGAAAAAGAACCUGAAACCGUGUACGUACAAGCAGUGGGAGCACGCUUAGGCGUGUGACUGCGUACCUUUUGUAUAAUGGGUCAGCGACUUAUAUUCUGUAGCAAGGUUAACCGAAUAGGGGAGCCGAAGGGAAACCGAGUCUUAACUGGGCGUUAAGUUGCAGGGUAUAGACCCGAAACCCGGUGAUCUAGCCAUGGGCAGGUUGAAGGUUGGGUAACACUAACUGGAGGACCGAACCGACUAAUGUUGAAAAAUUAGCGGAUGACUUGUGGCUGGGGGUGAAAGGCCAAUCAAACCGGGAGAUAGCUGGUUCUCCCCGAAAGCUAUUUAGGUAGCGCCUCGUGAAUUCAUCUCCGGGGGUAGAGCACUGUUUCGGCAAGGGGGUCAUCCCGACUUACCAACCCGAUGCAAACUGCGAAUACCGGAGAAUGUUAUCACGGGAGACACACGGCGGGUGCUAACGUCCGUCGUGAAGAGGGAAACAACCCAGACCGCCAGCUAAGGUCCCAAAGUCAUGGUUAAGUGGGAAACGAUGUGGGAAGGCCCAGACAGCCAGGAUGUUGGCUUAGAAGCAGCCAUCAUUUAAAGAAAGCGUAAUAGCUCACUGGUCGAGUCGGCCUGCGCGGAAGAUGUAACGGGGCUAAACCAUGCACCGAAGCUGCGGCAGCGACACUAUGUGUUGUUGGGUAGGGGAGCGUUCUGUAAGCCUGUGAAGGUGUGCUGUGAGGCAUGCUGGAGGUAUCAGAAGUGCGAAUGCUGACAUAAGUAACGAUAAAGCGGGUGAAAAGCCCGCUCGCCGGAAGACCAAGGGUUCCUGUCCAACGUUAAUCGGGGCAGGGUGAGUCGACCCCUAAGGCGAGGCCGAAAGGCGUAGUCGAUGGGAAACAGGUUAAUAUUCCUGUACUUGGUGUUACUGCGAAGGGGGGACGGAGAAGGCUAUGUUGGCCGGGCGACGGUUGUCCCGGUUUAAGCGUGUAGGCUGGUUUUCCAGGCAAAUCCGGAAAAUCAAGGCUGAGGCGUGAUGACGAAGCACUACGGUGCUGAAGCAACAAAUGCCCUGCUUCCAGGAAAAGCCUCUAAGCAUCAGGUAACAUCAAAUCGUACCCCAAACCGACACAGGUGGUCAGGUAGAGAAUACCAAGGCGCUUGAGAGAACUCGGGUGAAGGAACUAGGCAAAAUGGUGCCGUAACUUCGGGAGAAGGCACGCUGAUAUGUAGGUGAAGUCCCUCGCGGAUGGAGCUGAAAUCAGUCGAAGAUACCAGCUGGCUGCAACUGUUUAUUAAAAACACAGCACUGUGCAAACACGAAAGUGGACGUAUACGGUGUGACGCCUGCCCGGUGCCGGAAGGUUAAUUGAUGGGGUUAGCGCAAGCGAAGCUCUUGAUCGAAGCCCCGGUAAACGGCGGCCGUAACUAUAACGGUCCUAAGGUAGCGAAAUUCCUUGUCGGGUAAGUUCCGACCUGCACGAAUGGCGUAAUGAUGGCCAGGCUGUCUCCACCCGAGACUCAGUGAAAUUGAACUCGCUGUGAAGAUGCAGUGUACCCGCGGCAAGACGGAAAGACCCCGUGAACCUUUACUAUAGCUUGACACUGAACAUUGAGCCUUGAUGUGUAGGAUAGGUGGGAGGCUUUGAAGUGUGGACGCCAGUCUGCAUGGAGCCGACCUUGAAAUACCACCCUUUAAUGUUUGAUGUUCUAACGUUGACCCGUAAUCCGGGUUGCGGACAGUGUCUGGUGGGUAGUUUGACUGGGGCGGUCUCCUCCUAAAGAGUAACGGAGGAGCACGAAGGUUGGCUAAUCCUGGUCGGACAUCAGGAGGUUAGUGCAAUGGCAUAAGCCAGCUUGACUGCGAGCGUGACGGCGCGAGCAGGUGCGAAAGCAGGUCAUAGUGAUCCGGUGGUUCUGAAUGGAAGGGCCAUCGCUCAACGGAUAAAAGGUACUCCGGGGAUAACAGGCUGAUACCGCCCAAGAGUUCAUAUCGACGGCGGUGUUUGGCACCUCGAUGUCGGCUCAUCACAUCCUGGGGCUGAAGUAGGUCCCAAGGGUAUGGCUGUUCGCCAUUUAAAGUGGUACGCGAGCUGGGUUUAGAACGUCGUGAGACAGUUCGGUCCCUAUCUGCCGUGGGCGCUGGAGAACUGAGGGGGGCUGCUCCUAGUACGAGAGGACCGGAGUGGACGCAUCACUGGUGUUCGGGUUGUCAUGCCAAUGGCACUGCCCGGUAGCUAAAUGCGGAAGAGAUAAGUGCUGAAAGCAUCUAAGCACGAAACUUGCCCCGAGAUGAGUUCUCCCUGACUCCUUGAGAGUCCUGAAGGAACGUUGAAGACGACGACGUUGAUAGGCCGGGUGUGUAAGCGCAGCGAUGCGUUGAGCUAACCGGUACUAAUGAACCGUGAGGCUUAACCUUACAACGCCGAAG
rnacentral:rRNA from 1 species